AGCGAACGCUGGCGGCAGGCCUAACACAUGCAAGUCGAGCGCCCCGCAAGGGGAGCGGCAGACGGGAGAGUAACACGUGGGAACAUGCCCUUCAGUACGGAACAACCAAGGGAAACUUUGGCUAAUACCGUAUACGCCCGUAAGGGGAAAGACUUAUCGCUGAAGGAUUGGCCCGCGUCUGAUUAGCUAGUUGGUGGGGUAAUGGCCCACCAAGGCGACGAUCAGUAGCUGGUCUGAGAGGAUGAUCAGCCUCACUGGGACUGAGACACGGCCCAGACUCCUACGGGAGGCAGCAGUGGGGAAUAUUGGACAAUGGGCGCAAGCCUGAUCCAGCCAUGCCGCGUGAGUGAUGAAGGCCUUAGGGUUGUAAAGCUCUUUCGUCAGGGAAGAUAAUGACGGUACCUGAAGAAGAAGCCCCGGCUAACUUCGUGCCAGCCGCCGCAGUAAGAC
rnacentral:rRNA from 1 species